UACGAAGGGGGCUAGCGUUGUUCGGAAUCACUGGGCGUAAAGAGCACGUAGGUGGCUUGAUAAGCCGGUUGUGAAAGCCCCGGGCUCAACCGGGAGUUGUCGCUCAAAACUAGCAGACUAGAGGAUGGUAGAGGGAGGUGGAAUUCCGGGUGUAGUGGUGAAAUGCGUAGAUAUCCGGAGGAACACCAGUGGCGAAGGCGGCCUCCUGGCCCAUUCCUGACACUCAGACGCGAAAGCUAGGGUAGCAAACGGG
rnacentral:misc_RNA from 1 species